rnacentral:rRNA from 1 species
AUUGAACGCUGGCGGCAGGCCUAACACAUGCAAGUCGAGCGGCAGCGGGAAAGUAGCUUGCUACUUUUGCCGGCGAGCGGCGGACGGGUGAGUAAUGCCUGGGAAAUUGCCCAGUCGAGGGGGGUAACAGUUGGAAACGACUGCUAAUACCGCAUACGCCCUACGGGGGAAAGCAGGGGACCUUCGGGCCUUGCGCGAUUGGAUAUGCCCAGGUGGGAUUAGCUAGUUGGUGAGGUAAUGGCUCACCAAGGCGACGAUCCCUAGCUGGGCUGGGAGGAUGAUCAGCCACACUGGAACUGAGACACGGUCCAGACUCCUACGGGAGGCAGCAGUGGGGAAUAUUGCACAAUGGGGGAAACCCUGAUGCAGCCAUGCCGCGUGUGUGAAGAAGGCCUUCGGGUUGUAAAGCACUUUCAGCGAGGAGGAAAGGUUGAUGCCUAACACGUAUCAACUGUGACGUUACUCGCAGAAGAAGCACCGGCUAACUCCGUGCCAGCCGCCGCAGUAACAC